rnacentral:rRNA from 1 species
CCUACGGGUGGCAGCAGUAGGGAAUAUUGCUCAAUGGGGGAAACCCUGAAGCAGCAACGCCGCGUGGAGGAUGAAGGUUUUCGGAGUGUAAACUCCUUUUGUUAGAGAAGAAAAUGACGGUAUCUAACGAAUAAGCACCGGCUAACUCCGUGCCAGCAGCCGCGGUAAUACGGAGGGUGCCAGCGUUACUCGGAAUCACUGGGCGUAAAGAGCGCGUAGGCGGGAUAGCAAGUCAGAUGUGAAAUCCUAUGGCUUAACCAUAGAACUGCAUUUGAAACUGUUAUGCUAGAGUACGGGAGAGGUAGGUGGAAUUCUUGGUGUAGCGGUGAAAUCCGUAGAUAUCAAGAGGAAUACUGAUUGCGAAGGCGACCUGCUAGAACAUAACUGACGCUGAUGCGCGAAAGCGUGGGGAGCGAACAGUAUUAGAUACCCCUGUAGUC